GAUGAACGCUGGCGGCGUGCCUAAUACAUGCAAGUCGAGCGAACAGACGAGGAGCUUGCUCCUCUGACGUUAGCGGCGGACGGAUGAGUAACACGUGGAUAACCUACCUAUAAGACUGGGAUAACUUCGGGAAACCGGAGCUAAUACCGGAUAAUAUAUUGAACCGCAUGGUUCAAUAGUGAAAGACGGUUUUGCUGUCACUUAUAGAUGGAUCCGCGCCGCAUUAGCUAGUUGGUAAGGUAACGGCUUACCAAGGCAACGAUGCGUAGCCGACCUGAGAGGGUGAUCGGCCAAACAGGAACUGGGAAACGGCCCAGACUCCUAGGGGAGGCAGGAGAAGGGAAUCUUCCGAAAGGGGGAAAAGCAUGAGGGAGAAACGCCGGGGGAGUGAUGAAGGUUUUGGGAUCGUAAAACUUUGUUAUGAGGGAAAAAAAAAUGUGUAAGUAAAUAGGAACGUUUUGACGGUACCUAAGCAGAAAACCACGGCUAACUACGG
rnacentral:rRNA from 1 species